CACGAUGUAGCUCAGUGGGUAGAGCAUCAGACCGAUAAUCUGACCGUCGAGGGUUCGACUCCCUCCAUCACGGCCC
rnacentral:tRNA from 1 species